ACACCAACGAGAACUGCGCUUUAGCGGCGCUGCUGAAGGCACUGGAUGGCCAAACAACCGCGAACGCCGACAAGCCGAAGAGCCGAAGGGCCGAAAAGCCGAAGCGGACACCCGCGCGCGGUGAUUGGCCGGUUGGCCGGAAGAACUCUGUCUCUGAUUGGCAGGAGAGUCACGAACCGGUCAGCCCCGGGUCAGGGGCCGCAAGUGAGGACACUACAAGUGUCGAGGGGCCUAGGGGAAGCCGGGGCUUGGGAGGGCAGGGCUUUCUCUGCUUGCGGACAUCGCGAAGGGCCUCUGGCAGGCGCCGCCGGGUGGCGGCGAGACGCCUCCGCGCCUCCGGGGUUCCUUGUUCGCUGUCGGAGGAGGACCGGCUGAGGGAUGGCCUGGUGGGGAGGGAGCCCUCGGGCAGGUGGCUGCGUCGGGCCUGGGGCAGUUGUGCUGCGCUUGGAGACCUGCCCGCCCUCGGGGCCUGUGUGCACAGGGAGGAUAGGCUGUUUAUCUCUGCAGGCUCAGGAAGGCAGGUAGCUGGCCCGUCAGUCAUCCGCCCUGCAAAGCGCUCCCGAGAGACCCCGUAGAGCGGGCCAGCGCGCGCCUGGCCUGAGGUUUCCCGCCCCCGGAGGCCCUCACAUCUCCCCGGUAACGCUUAGGAAUUCGGGCAGCCAGCUCGCCUACCCCUGGGGAAUCGAGGCAGAGCUUCUGGGAAUGGGGUCUGAGGGAAGAGUGCUCACCAGGCAGUGACAUGUAGCCGUUGAGGAUCGCCACUGCCUUCUCGUUCUGUGGUAUGAAUGGCAGUGUCUCUCUAGAGAGUUAGUGCUUAAGUUUGAAUGAUGGCAGGCACUUCAGGAUUCCAGCACGUAGUAGGGUUUAAGAACGUCUUAGUUCUUACCUCCAGUCUCGACUCACCGUUCCUACAAGGAACACUCACUUCUACGAAAGCUCUAUUAGACAUUCGAGGGAGAGCUUAUACUGUAGAACCAGUGUUAUUAGGAAAGUUUUUUUUUUUUUGCUUGUAUUUUUAUUUCAGAAACUACCCAUGGAGCAGAGUUGCUAAAAUAAAAUUUAUUAACUCUAAUGCUAUCCAAAUUGUGAAACAAUGGUACAAAUGAGAUAGAGUAGAAGCUACAAAUUGAUAGAGUAUGUAGUUCACUUAGGGGUUUGGGAGUGGAUUUUCUAGAGCUGCAACUGUCCAGUGUAGUAGUCACUGGCCACCUGAAAAGUGGCUAGUCUGAACUGAGGUCUGCUCUAAGUGUAGAACAUGCACCAGAUUUCUAAAGCGUGGUCUGAAAAGAAAAAGAAUGUAAAGUAUUUCAUUAAUUUUAUAUUGCUUACAUGUCAAAAUGAGAAUGUUUUGGAAAAUUUUAAAUUACGUGGCUUCCAUUAUAUUUCUAUGGAUACUGCUGUUCUAGAGAGUAAAAAAAUCUCACUGAAGAAGAGUAGGCCUUUCGUUUAGCAACUGUGAAGAAAACCAACCACGCUGCACCUCUCAGGUAGCCUACAGAUGUGCUGUGCUUCACUUAAUUUUUGAGAGGGACGGGGGAAAAUACACACAAAGACUUGAUUGACAUAGAGGACAUUUUCAGAAAGCAAAUUCUGGUUCAUAGAGCCUUAUGUAUGUCAUGUGAACAUCACACAGUAGCGAAUGAAAAUAAUAAAGAUAUCAAGAAACUUGAAUCAUAUUUAAUGAAUCUCAUUAAGAAUGCGGGGAAACAUGCAACAGUUAAAAUUCUGUUGAAAUUGUUUAAAAUAAGUUCUAGAUUUUAAUGUUUAACCUGUAGAUACAGUAUACCUUCUUAAUUUUCCCAUGAGCUGGUGAGCUGAGGUUCCAGGGAAGCUUUGUUUCCAGUUUUUUAAAGAUAUAUUUAUUUUUCAUUCAUUUAUUUAACAAAAGCUUUCUGAGGCCCGGGAGUUUUGCUAGGCAGUGUUGAUAAAAAUGUGAAGACAGAAAACAGACACGGCUCUUACUCUCUCAGAGCUAAUUCAUAUCAGUUCAGAGGCAGUGAAUAAGUAAAUAAUAACCAAGACAGAAUAUUUUCUUCUUAGUAAAUGUUUACCUCUGUAAAUGCAAAACAUGAGUUAUUUUAAACCUAGAAUUUAUAUAUUUCUAGUGACAUGUUAAGAGUCUUUAUUAGAACUUGGCUGUGGACUUAAAAAUAUUAGGAAAAAAAUCAAAGUUAAUUUGUUCAUUAACUAUGAGAAGUUAAAGAAGAAAAAUUAAAAUUGUUUUUUUAACCUUUACAUAGAAAAGAUGGAAACAUUUUAUAAUAGCAUUUUAUAUCCUCUUUAGCCUUUUAGCAACUUUUAGAUUCUAAGAAUUUAACAAUAGAAAUGUAAAUAAGACAUUGAUUUAUGUCCCUAAUAUAGUUUUAAAAUGCUGACUUUAAGAAGUUAAAUUUAUUCUAGAAUAUUAUGUAGUUCCUAAAUCAAUAUAUUUGAGUCUUUUAGGAAAAAGUUAAGUAUGGAUCUUAUAUUAGUUUACCAUUAAUACUAUUUCUGUAACAAAGUUAGAAGCUCAAACCACCACCAAUUUAUUACCUUACAGUUCUGUAGUCAGAAGUCCAACAUGGUUCUCAAUGGCCUAAAAUCAAGGUGUCCACAGGAUUGUGUUCCUUUCUAGAGAGGUAAGGGAAGAAUCUGAUUUUUUUUUUUUUUUUGCUUAUUCAGGUUGUUGGACAAAUUGAGUCCCUUGCUCUUGUAGCUGUUCUCCCUGUUUCUUUGCUGGCUGUCAGCUAAGAGCUGUUUUCAGCUUCUAGAGGCCACUCACAUUUCCUUGGUUAUGGCCCUCUUCGUCUCCAAAGCCAGCAAUGGUGGAUUGAGACCCUUUCAUCCUUGUAAAUCUUUCUUUCUUCUUCUUCCAUUGCUGUAUCUCUCCAAUUACAGCCUUUUAAGAAUCCAUUGGUUAGACAGAAUCUCCCCCGCUCAAGGUUCAUAACUUUUAUUUACAUCUGCAAAGUUGCUUUUGCGGUAAUAAUGUAACAUAUUCACAGCUUACAGGGAUUGGGGAAUGGAUAUAUUUAGGAGCCAUUAUUCUACCUAUCUCAGAUCUCAAUUGGGGCCAUGCAGUAUAUCCAGUGUUUCAUACCACUAUUCUCAAUACUUUAUGUUAGAAUAAUAAUAUUGAUAAUAGGUAAAUUUUGUUGGUUAUAUAAUAUGCUCAAGGUACUUUUCUGAGCCCUUUUACUAAAUUCACUCAUUUAAUCCUCAGAACUACCCUAGGAGGCAAACACUGUUAUUGUUCCCACUCACAGAUGAGGAAACAGGUACUGAAAGCUGAAGUAACUUGUCGAAUUUCUCACAGCCAUUAAAUGGUGAAAUGGAGAUCUGAACCUAGGUAGUCUGGUUCCAGAGCCUGUGCAUGCUCUGAAGCUCAACAUAAUAAAAAUAAUUUCUACAUACCUGGAUUUAACUAAACAUGUGUUGAUGAUACAGUGGCUAUGAAUUCAGGUUCUGACAUCACCUUGUGGAUUCAAAUUCUACCUACCCAUUACUGAAUGACCCUGGGCAAGUUACUUGACCUCUCUGAGACUUAACAAUAAACUGAACCAAUAAUAAUAGUUGAGAAUUAAACAAAUACUAUAUGUAAGGUACUUAGAGCACUGCCUCUACAUACAGUCAUUCAUAACAAUAGAGAUACGUUUUGAGAAGUGCGUCAUUAGGCUAUUUUGUUGUGUGAACAUCGUAGAGUGUACUUACACAAACCUAGAUGAUGUAGUCUACUACAUACCUAGGCUACAUGGGAUAACCUUUUGCUCCUAGGCUACAAACCCGCACAGCGUGUUACUGUACUGAGUACUAUAGGUAGUUGUAACACAGUGGUAAGUAUUUGUGCAUCUAACCAUGUCUAAACAUAGAAAAAUUGCAGUAAAAAUACAGUAUUAUAAUCUUAGGGACCACUGUUGUGUAUGUGGGCCAUCAUUGACUGAAACAUCAUUAUGCAGUGCAAGCAAUUGCUAGCUGUAAUUAUUGAUGACAAUUCAACUUUUAAAAACAGUAUUUAUUAUAAAAAGAAAUGUUUCCUUUAGAGAUCAGUCUUUCCUUGUAAAAUAAAAACUGAAAAUUAAAAUUUUUACUUUAAUACACUACAGUGCUAUCUCCUUUCUCAGACUCUGAUUUCUCCUCACUCUAGGCUAGCAUCUAUCGUUCUAACCAUGGUACCUUCAGUGUUAUCUGAUCAUGCAUUCUAAAUACUUUGUCCAGAUCCUAGUAUCUGCAGGCUAAUAUUCAAACUCUCUAGAAGGGCACCAGGACUUUUCACACAUUCCAGAGACUCUCUCUUGCCAUUCCUCUGCUGGGUAUUUACACAGCCAUCAAUUCUAACUUUUCACUGCUCUCGUUUGCUAUUAUUAUUCUUUGAGGGAGACUUAUGUGUGUGGAGGGGACUCUGGGGAGUAUGGACAAUGUCAUAUCCUGGGUCCCCUUCCAUAAUGCCUGCUAAUACCACUCCAAAUUCACUCUCUCUUUUAAUAAUCUUUCCUGCACUUGCCUUAAUUCAAACCCUCAUUAUCCUUGCACUUUAAGCCAUCUCUUAACAAAUUGGUGGCCUCCAGCCUCACUGCCCUUCAGGCUUACUAUCCUUGCUUGCUGGAAUGAUCUCUAAACUACAAAACUCUAUAUGUUACUCUCCUUCUUCAAACCAUUCAGUGUCCCCUCUGCCAGGUCCUACAAAUAUUACUCUUUUUUCUGUGCCUCUUGGUACCAGUUACAUGCUUCUACCGUAACUUAAAAGGUGUCACACAGUUGUUUAUUUAAAUACAUAUCUUCCCUUCUAAAUCAGGAGCUCAUGGAUAAUAGAGCCAUAAGAGAUGGUUUUGCUUUAAUGAAUUUAUAUUAUUUCAUGAUAACAUAAAUUAUUGUAUUAUUGUAUCAUCUGUCUCUUGUCACUAAUCUGUGAACUCUUUAAGGGGAGACUAAUUGUUUUAUUCAUUUCUCUUUUUCCUCUAUGCCCGUGGCAUAGGAGGUACUUAGUAAUUGGUCAAUGAAUGAUUUGGGAAAAAUAAUCCAGAAUAUAUACAAUUUUUUAGUCUGCUUCAGUCUAAAUAAAUAUAUGAAACUAUGUAUUUGGAAUAUAUAUGAUUUCAUUAUGAUUAUUAUAUACAAUUCAAUUAUGAUUUUAGAAGAAGCAUAAUUCCUGUACUCUGGAGCCAGAGUGCCUGAGUUUGAAUUCUGGCUCUGCCACUUACAAGCUUGGGGAAGUUUUCUUGGGAAAGCUAAUCAAAAUUGUGUUUGUUGUUUGUCUGUAGAAGAAGAAUGAUAAUAGUAACUGUCUUUUAAGUUAAUAGAACUAAAUGAAUAAUAUUUAUAACGUAUCUAUGACUUUAGACUCUAUAAUAGUGUCUACCACCUAGUAAAUGUUCUACAAGUGCUUGUUAAAUAAAAACAUAAUAGUUUUUAUUCUCAUUGCUUUUGAUGAUAGGUAAUGGUCUUGAAAUACAAUGAUUUAGAAAAAAUCGUCCCGUACUUUCUAGUGGUGUUUUGAACUAGUUUUUUUACUCAAUGAUUUUUAAUAUUGUACAUUCUAGAAUGAUCAUAUAUAUUCCUUCAACAUUUAGAGAGUACCUGUGUGUGAUCUCUCUCAGGAAACACUUACAUAUUUUCUCUUUGUAUUAUUUUUCUGUUGCCAUUAUAACAAAUUACCACAAACUUAGUUGCUUAAAACAACGUAAAUUUAUUAUAUUAUUAUUCUAUAGAUCAGAUGUCUGACAAUAAUCUCACCAACCUAAGAUCAAGUUGACAGCAGGGUAGCACUCUUUACUGGAGACUGCAGGCUAGAAUCUGUUUUCUUGCCUUUUCCCAUUUUGGAGGCUGUCCACAUUCAUUGGCUCUUGGCCCCCUUCUUCUACCUUCAAAGCCUGCAAUGUUGCAUCUCUCUAAUCAUUCUGGCAUAAUCACAAGUGUUUCUCUGACCACAGCCAGGAAUGGUUCUCUGCUUUUAAAGGAUUCUUGUGAUAAAAUUGGACCCACCUGGAUAAACCAUGUCAGUCUUCCCAUUUCAAGAACCUUAACUUGAUUACAUGUGCAAAAUUCCUUUCCCUAUGUAAAGUAAUUUAUUCAUAAGUUCUAUGGAUUGGAGUAUGGACUUCUUUGGAGGACUGUUAUUCUGCCUACCACACUCUUGUACUGUAAAUGAGUCACUGUGGAAAGGUAAUAGGUUGUAGCUUCUGAAAAUAAAGAUAAAUGUUAGCUAGAUUGUUAACAGUAGUGUCAGUAUCAUUUAUGACUCUACUGGUUGUUGAGAGCGAAGUUGGCUUAGUAGAAUGCUUAGGUACUGCAGGGCUCACUGAUUAUGUCUUUGUCUCCUAGGAUUUUUAUUCUACUAGAGAGGGAAGAAUACAUUCAUAUUUGUUGCAUAUCUGCCGUGUCCUAGGUACUCUACAAUGAACUACAGAUACAUUAAUCCCAUUUAAUUUCCACAAUAACUUUAUGAGGUGUGGUAGGAGGCCUUCUAAGAUGACCCAAUGAUCUCCAUCACAUAGCACUCACCCCCUUGUAUAAUCUCCCUCCUUUGAAUGUAAGCUUAACCCAGUGACUCUACCAAUGAACAGAGUAGGACAAUAGUGAUAGUAUAUCAUUUCUGAGAUUGGAUUCCAGAAAACUAUGACUUGUCUCUCACUUACACUGUCUGUCUCUUGCCCUCUUAUUUGCUUGCUUUGAUGAAGCAAGCUGCAGUGUGGUAAACUGCCUUUGAAAGAGACCCACAUGUCAAGAAACUGAGCAUCACCUGUGACCAACAGCCAGAAAGUAACUGAAGCCCCAAGACGAACAGCUUGUGCAAAACUAAAUUCUGCCUACAACAAGAGCAUGAAUUGAGACGCAGAUCCUUCCCUAGUUGAUCCUUGAAAUGCUUGCAGCUCUAUGGACACCUUGAUUGCAGCCUUGUGAGAAAUUCUGAACUAGAGGACCUCGUAUGCCUUACCCAUAGGUCUUACAAGAUAAUACGUGUUUUUCAAAAAAGUAAGUUUGGGGAUAAUUUCUUAUGCAGCAAUAGAUAAUGAAUAAUAAAGUAAAUACAGUUUUUUGCUGUUGACUUCAAAAAUGUUUAAAGAUUUUACUGUUAUAUAAUUGUACAUAUUUAUGGGGUACAUGUGAUAUUUUGAUACAUGCAUACAAUGUGUAAUGAUCAAACUGGGGUAAUUUGAAUAUCCAUCACCUCAAAUGUUAUUUAGUGGUAUUGGGAACAUUCCAAAUCUUGUAGGUAUUUUGAAAUAUACAAAAAGUUAAUUUUAUAUAUAAAUAUAUGUCAUAUAUUAUUAAUAUAUUAAUAAUAUAUGCCAUAUAUAUAUAUGUAUGUAUAAAUGCCAUAUAUAUUAAUUACAUGUAUGGCAUGUUUUCUUUUAUACAUUUAUCCACUGAUAAACACUUAGGUUCCUUCCUUACCUUGGCUAUUGUGAAUAGUGCUGCAAUAAACAUGGGAGUGUAGAUAAUCUCUUUGAUGCACUAGUUUUCUUUCUUUUGGAUGUAUACCUAGCAGUGAGAAUGCAGGAUCAUAUGGUAGAUAUAUUUUUAGUUUUUUGAGGAACUUUCAUACUGUUUUUUACAGUGGCUGUGCUUAUUUACAUUCCCACCAACAGUGUGUGAGUGUUCACAUCCUUGCCAGUAUUUAUUAUUUUUUGUCCUUUGAUAAUUUUAACUGGAGUGAAGUGAUAUAAUUGUGGUUUUGAUUUGCAUUUCCCUAAUGAUUAGUGAUGUUGGGUAUUUUUUUUAAUACCUGUUGGCCAUUUGUAUGUAUUCUUUUAUGAAGCAUCUAUUUAGAUCAUUUGUCCAUUUGUAAAUCAGAUUAUUUGUUUUUUUGCUAUUGAGUUGUUUGAGUUUCUUAUAUGUUCUGGUUAUUAAUCCCUUGUUGGAUGGAUAGUUUGCAAAUAUUUUAUCCCAUUCUGCAGGUUGUCUCUUUAUUGAUUGUUUCCUUUGCUGUGCAGAAGCUUUGCUUUAGUACAGAUAAUAAAACAAAUACUUGGAAAGAUUAGGCAACUUCCUGGGUCACUUAAUUAUUAGUAGAAGCUCUUUCCACUGCAAAUAGUGAUGAUAAUAGUAAUAAAAUUGAAGUAUUAGUAGUUGCUUAUGUUUAUUGAGCAAUUACUAGGUAUUAGACAACUUUCAGUGCAUUUUAUAUGUUAUAAUCUUAGAUUAUUACAACUUUAUAAAGUAGGUACUAUAAUUAUCUCAUUUGAUAAAUGAUGAAAUUGGAUUUAAGAGAGGUCAAACUAUAUUCCCAAGAUCCGCAGUGAGCCAGUAGAUUGGCAGGAUUUGAACUCAGGUUGUAUGGCUCUUGAGUUCUCACUCUUACCACUAUAAUAAAUUGUUCCCUAAAGAUCCAUGCUAUGAGGCAAAAGGUGAUGGUGCAGCAGGAAGAAAUGAAAGGUUACAGUCUGUCAGGCGAAUGAGAUUAUCCCUGACCAAGUUAUUAGGAAAUGCUGUGGCACUAGGAAGGUAUCCGACAUGGCUCUGAAAGGCUGGGUAGAAUUUAAGCUUCUGGCUGUUAGAGGAAAGAGCAUAAUCAGCUGAGCAAGACAGCUGGAGAAGCAUGAGCUGGAAGACACCAGCUCACAGCAUCUAGAGCUGCAUCAGGAUGAGGAAAAGUGGGAGAUAAAUUUAGAAAGAUAGUUUGGGGCCUGGAGAUAGUUAUGUAAAAAAAAAAAAAGAAUGUAUUGUUUAUAAAAUUAUUGAUUCUUGAGGUUUGUGACUAGUAGUUUAAAUCAACUACAUCUUAAACUAUUUAGUGGCACUAUUAUAGAGAUGAUAUUCGGGUAAAUUUGAAACACACAGAGAAUCAGAUUGUAUAGAUUGUAUGAAAAUAUGAAAUUUAGUUUCAGUACAGUACAAAAGAAAACUUAUGAAUGUACACUGAACAUUUUGUGUGGUUAAACUUCUUGACACAUUAAAAAAUGUGUUAAGUUUAUAUUUAGUUUCAGCAAAACUGCAUGAAUCAUUAUAUAUCAACAUAUACAGGUAUUUUUUUCUUAUAAAAAUAGUAUUAUUGGUGGUUACAUGCAAAGAACAUUAAGCAUUCCACUAAAAACAGAGCUUAUAGAAAUGAAGAAAAAAUUUCAUUAUGAUUGUGUUUUAGUUACCUGGGAGUAGGCCUUAAAAACAGAAGUAUUUUUUUCUUCAAAACAUUCAGAUUCACUAGAUGAAAAUUUAAUUUUGUAGGAUGUCUGUACAGUUCAACUUUGAUUAUGGUGUGAGCUUUCAAUUUAGACAAUUUAUCAUUACAUGGAGAGGAAUUUUUUCUCUUAAGCCAGAUUGAGUUUUCUUUCCAGGGAAUAGAUGAAUCCAGGAGAAAUCUUUCCACAGCUUAUACCUAGCCAAUGGACAGCUCAUUGAAUAAUGGCAAAAGGAAAAUAUGUAAUAUCUUUUCCUAUAGUCUCUCUUUGACCUUGACUUAUCUCAAAAUUCUCCUAUUCAUAGAUUAAAGCAGUUUACAUUUCGAUUCCUAAAUUUGGGGGUUGGACUUCUGCUUCAAAACAGUACAAAGCAGGCAGUUGAUAAUAUAAAAUAUAUGCAGAGGCCUGACUGAUUUGCCUCUGACAGUUGUGUGACCUUUGGAAGGUCUCUUAACUGUCAAGGCCCUCAGUUUCUUAAUCUCUCAUCUGUUUGACAUGUCCUCUAAAAUUUUUCCUUUGUUUUAAUGGAUUAGGAUUCUACAGGCCAAUUUUUUAUGGCUGCAGUUUCAACCUGAUCGUGCAGUUAAACAUGUGGGCCUUUGUGCUGUCUAUAUGUUUUAUUUGAAGUCAUCUUUUCUAUGUCUGUAGCUUUACAGGAAUAACAUAAUUACAUCCAUAAGAGAGGCUAAGUCCUAAAUUCCUAGCCUAGCCCAAGUUUGGCUUCACUUCUUGCUAAUUUUGAUCUUAAAAUUUAGGAGAGGCUACUCCCUCUACCUCAUAGCCAGACAGAUUCUGUACUAUCCCUAGAGGAAUAAUCUUGAAGCCCUUUCAUUUUAAAAUAUCUCCCUUUUCUGUAUGUAUUUAAGUGUUUGUACUAUAUAUCUUACUGCCAUAACAGAGGAAGCCAGUGAGGUAAUGAGAAAAAAUAUAUGGCAAUUAUUUGACCUGACAUCAUUAACCUUAACAGCCUCAGCAUCCAAUACCUACCUUCAUCCCCAGCCCCUACGCUCCCACCUGGAAGACUGCAGUGACCCUUAGAGGCAGGACAUUUCUUUGAAAAGAAGCCUUUGGAACUCUGUCUGGAAAGGGUAUUUUGAACACUCAUUACUUCAGAGUUUCAGGACGAGUCUGAGGUCAAUAUUCUUGUAUCCCACAAAAAAUAUGAGUAGAAUAAAGGAUUAUAUACAUACACUAGCAUUUCACAUGAUUUCCAAACAGUCAGAAAGUAUCCAGAAGUCCUGGUUUUUCUUGAGUUCCUGAAUUAAUGAAUUUUUCCUCCUCAUUUUAGAAGGAUCUAAUGAUUAAACAUUGCUCCCAAGUACUUCUGGGUCAUAGAAAUUCUCUGAGAGUUGGAUAAAGAAGAUGCUGUAGAGUUACAAGAACUGGGCUUGAAGUUAAGGAGACCUGAUAGCUUAUAUCCACAUACUCAUUGAGUUGAGUGCCCUUGAGCAAAUGAUAGAACAUCUGAGGGCUUUAGUACUUCAUGCGAAAAUGAAGAAUAUGGGCUAGAUAAAUUUAGUGAACUUUUCCAAUUCUAAAUUUAUAUGAUUCUAAGAGUAAGUUGCCAAGUGUCUAUAGAUACUUUGGAUUACACCCAGGCACCAAGGCGAAUGUCAACGGGUAGUGCUGCUUAGCUAGGCUUUGACAUUAUCCAGAGUAGUAGAGGUGGAAGCUUAAUUCAUUUGGUUUCCAAAAACUACUGAGGGAUGAGUAGCCCUGAGAAUAUAAGACUAGGCUAGUCUUUGCUACACCAUCUUGAAGUGUUUUGUUUUAUAAUAUUCAGUUUACAGAGAUUUAGUAAAUUUAAGGUGACUUUUAGCCAUUAUUACAGAAAGACAGUAUAAAAUCUAUGAUUUCUUUACUUAUUCAUUUUAAAUCCUAUUAUUUAAAAAUUAUCCUUGUUAGAAAAUCUUACUAAGGUUUAUUAAUCAAAUGGCAAUCAAUGAAAUAAGAUUUGUACUGAAUGUAUGACACUAUAUUAGUCACUUUGGGAGGAUAUAAACAUUUGUGGGAGCGUGCUUGCCCUUAGUUUGUAUGUUAGGAGAAGAGAAAAGUCACUAAGAAAUAAAAAUAUGAACAAGAAUGAAAGAAUCAAAAUGCUCAGGACAUUUUGCAGGAGAAUGGAAUUAAUCUAAAAGAAAGAAUGUAUCCUUUGGUUUUUUAAUGAAAUAACUUUGGGAGUACUUUUUAAAAUUAAAGAUUAUUUUACUUAGAAGCAGAUUGAAAUCUUUCUUUUUCCAGCCUGCAGAGCUCUCUUUAAAGAUAAACGUUGCAGUGGUAUUUUUAAUUAUUAAGGCUGGGCACUUAUUUCCUUCUUACACUCACACACUUCCAAGGGGAUUUGGAACAUGGAAGAAUUUCAUAGCUAUUUAGAGAAAUGAGAACUUAGGUCUUUAUAAUUGCAAAUGUUACUUUCCAGUUCUAAGUUCAGGCUCUAUUCUCCAUGGUAUUGAAUCUUCCAAGUUGUGAUACAUCAAUAUAAUGUAUGAUCUGUGCCUGAACAUCCAAACAUUUGUAAGUUUCUAGGAUAGAUGAAGGCAAAUUUGUUUCAGCUAGCUUUGUUAUGAUUUAUUUUUUCUAAGUGGUUAGUAACUUACCAAUUAAAUAUAUAAUUUGGAAAAUAAAAUUUGAUAAUUUUUUCUCUUUCACAAGUAAUUGUAGCUCAAACACAAAGCAAUACUAAUGUAGUCUGGCUGUCUAUGGGCAAGUUACCUGAAGCAGUGUCUGAGCGUGUUUAGUCAUAAGCCUAAGACAAC
rnacentral:lncRNA from 1 species